AGCAGCCAACGUUUCUGCGUACACUGUUGCUCUGAUCUCGGCAUCCUGAUCUCUCCAACAACCAUGAAAGCAUCUUGCGUCGUAUCGGUAGUAUUACUUGCAGGAUGCCUGCGGGCUAACAAAGUGGAUUACCAACCGAACCUCCUCAAUGCCCUGUUUGGUAACGUAAUGAAUAACAGAUUCCCACUAAAGGACAUGUAUUUCACUAUACGCCCAGAUGGAGAACCGAAGAACAGUACGCUGUACCGCUUCAACUUGACGAAUGGAAAGAUGCAGAAUAUUGGACACCUGCUCAAACCAAAAUACAAAGAAAAGACCUGUUACGCAGAAUGGACAAGAGGUAUCUUGACUGCACGCUGCGAGUUUAACCUCAAGGACUGCCGCAAUUUCAUACGAAGGCACAAUGUCCUUCGGAAGGCCUGUAGUGCAGCACUUCAACCUUUACGCAUUGAUCACCGAGUUCAUAUGGGGUAGACAUCGGAACCCUGCAUUGCUAUCCAUGUUCAUUUAUUACAACGAGGGAUGCAAGGGCAAAAUGUGCGAUAUACGGUCGUGCUUUAUUACGGACUUCAUGUUGAGUGCAGCGACGUUUCCUACGUUCUGGAAUUUUGACUUCAACCGGUUUCGAACCAAUGCGACUCUAGCUGGUAUAGUGUGGGAAGACUUCGAAGUGAAAAUGUUCACUGAAGUUAGGCUUAAUGUGAUGCGAACCAUCAACUAUACAUGUCAACAAGAAUUGCCUAAAAGAAAUAUAAAAAGAAGUACGCUUUAAAAUAAUUCUAGAAAUUUACUAAAGUUAUGAUGCGAUGAAUAUCCCGAGUGAACACUUUAGGAGAGCCCUGAUAGUGUCCCAUCUUGCCGAAAAUGUGAGAGCGUUUCGAAGUCAAUAUCUACGUGAUUUAACUGUACACUGAACAUAGUCUCAUGGGACCUUUAUCCGGAACACUUUUCAAACAACACAGACUGUUCAUCACCAUUCACCUACACUUACAUUCGAUAGAUUUACCGUUUCCUGUUCA